rnacentral:rRNA from 1 species
CCUACGGGAGGCAGCAGUGGGGAAUAUUGGACAAUGGGCGAAAGCCUGAUCCAGCCAUGCCGCGUGUGUGAAGAAGGCCUUAGGGUUGUAAAGCACUUUCAGGGGUGAGGAAGGGUAGCUAGUUAAUACCUAGUUAUUUUGACGUUAGCCCCAGAAGAAGCACCGGCUAACUCUGUGCCAGCAGCCGCGGUAAU